rnacentral:rRNA from 1 species
UACGUAGGGGGCGAGCGUUGUCCGGAUUUAUUGGGCGGAAAGAGCUCGUAGGCGGUUUGGCAAGUCGGGUGUGAAAACUCCGGGCUCAACUCGGAGACGCCACUCGAUACUGCCAUGACUCGAGUCCGGUAGGGGAGUGCGGAAUUCCUGGUGUAGCGGUGAAAUGCGCAGAUAUCAGGAGGAACACCGGUGGCGAAGGCGGCACUCUGGGCCGGUACUGACGCUGAGGAGCGAAAGCGUGGGGAGCGAACAGG